rnacentral:rRNA from 1 species
CAAAGCACUUUGAAGAGAGAGUUAAAGAGGACGUGAAACCGAUGAGGUGGAAACGGACAGAGCCGGCGUAUCUGGCCUGUAUUCAGCCGCGCAUUGGCAGGUGUUGGGGUGCCGCUCUCCAGACUGGGAUGACGGUGCUUCGUCCGCUGGCCGGUGUGUGGUGCAUUUGCAGGUGGAGUGCGCCGAGCCGUUCGGCGCAGCGGCAUGAACGCGGUUCAGAGGCCAGCACCGCAAGGUGUCUGGAACCCGGGCCGCGGGAGUGCUGUUUGUGCUGGGCGAACAGAGAGGCAAUGGCAUCGGGCUCGUGUGGGUGCCGAGCUGGCAGUCGGUGGCGGCCGCAUGCGACACGUGCCAGCGGUCAGUUCGGUCCUGCUCGAGCUCUCAUGCGCCCGUGCUCGGUGUAAAAGCCGGUCAUCUGUCCGACCCGUCUUGAAACACGGACCAAGGAGUUUAGCGUGUGCGCGAGUCAUUGGGCGUUGAAAACCCAAGGGCGCAAUGAAAGUGAAGGUCUCCCUCGUGGAGCUGAUGUGUGAUCCCGGGCACUGCGGUGCGGCGGGCGCAACAUAGUCCCAUCCUGACCGCUUGCGGUGGGGUGGAGACAGAGCGUACGCGCUGAGAUCCGAAAGAUGGUGAACUAUUCCUGAGCAGGAUGAAGCCAGAGGAAACUCUGGUGGAAGUCCGAAGCG